rnacentral:rRNA from 1 species
UACGGGGGGGGCUAGCGUUAUUCGGAAUCAUUGGGCGUAAAGGGCGCGUAGGCGGCACGGUAAGUCAAAGGUGAAAUCCCUCGGCUCAACUGAGGAACUGCCUUUGAAACUGCCGAGCUUGAGUCCGGGAGGGGGUAGCGGAAUUCCCAGUGUAGCGGUGAAAUGCGUAGAUAUUGGGAGGAACACCAGUGGCGAAGGCGGCUACCUGGACCGGAACUGACGCUGAGGAGCGAAAGCCAGGGGAGCAAACGGG